rnacentral:rRNA from 1 species
UACGUAGGGUCCGAGCGUUGUCCGGAAUUACUGGGCGUAAAGAGCUCGUAGGCGGUUUGUUGCGUCGGCUGUGAAAACCUGAGGCUCAACCUCAGGCCUGCAGUCGAUACGAGCAGACUAGAGUGUUGCAGGGGAGACUGGAAUUCCUGGUGUAGCGGUGAAAUGCGCAGAUAUCAGGAGGAACACCGGUGGCGAAGGCGGGUCUCUGGGCAACAACUGACGCUGAGGAGCGAAAGCGUGGGGAGCGAACAGG